CCUACGGGUGGCUGCAGUGAGGAAUAUUGGUCAAUGGGCGGGAGCCUGAACCAGCCAAGUCGCGUGAGGGAAGACGGUCCUAUGGAUUGUAAACCUCUUUAGGCGGGGAGCAACGCGGGGCACGCGUGGCCGGACGGAGAGUACCCGCAGAAUAAGCAUCGGCUAACUCCGUGCCAGCAGCCGCGGUAAUACGGAGGAUGCGAGCGUUAUCCGGAUUUAUUGGGUUUAAAGGGUGCGUAGGCGGAUGUUUAAGUCAGUGGUCAAAUGUAGGGGCUCAACCCGGGCCGGCCGUUGAAACUGGGGAUCUUGAGUGGGCGAGAAGUAUGCGGAAUGCGUGGUGUAGCGGUGAAAUGCAUAGAUAUCACGCAGAACCCCGAUUGCGAAGGCAGCAUGCCGGCGCCCGACUGACGCUGAAGCACGAAAGCGUGGGGAUCGAACAGGAUUAGAUACCCUUGUAGUC
rnacentral:rRNA from 1 species